GGGUUGUUCUUAUGCUUACCUGAUGACUUGUAUUGACUUAACUAAUGAUCAACAUCAUAUCACUGACAUCACGCAUUAGCCUAUGUUGACGCAUGUAAUAUUUGUCGUCUUUAGAACACAGUGACAAUGGCACUUGAAAAGAAUAAAGAAAAAAAAAUACAGGAAUCGUUCGAAAGAAGUGUUUGGAUGCCACAUAUGAAUUUUGAGACUGAUGGUACUACUUAAUUGGAGUAAAAGAGGAGAGAGAUAUAAAGAAGAUGCAUUGAAAUUUUCAAACAAAAAUUUCCAUGUACCUCAUGUUUAGAUUCCUCCAAAUUUUGAACGAAACAUUCUUAUCCUACAAAACUCCUUU
rnacentral:lncRNA from 1 species